rnacentral:lncRNA from 10 species
CUAUAAAGAGCAAGAGAGUGUCCUUUCAACCUCAAGCCCUUCUCAUGAAUGAGUGUUAAUCUCAUUCAUGAGAGAAGGGUGGAGACUUCAUAAUUAAAUCACCUCCCAAAGGUCACACCUUUUAAUGCUGUUGAAUUGGGGAUUAAGUUUCAACAAAAAUGUUGAAGGGAACAUCAUCAUUCAAACCAUUGAAAUCCUCCAUCCCAGAGUGAUAUAUCUUGAAAAUUCACUUCAUUUGAGAGUCAUUUGUUUCUUGAUAACUGUUUUCCAGUUGCUACAUACUUCAUUAAAUUGAUGCAAAGGAAAAUCUGUUCAUUGCGCUCAAAAUUUUAGAGAAAGACAUGAGAAAUGAUGAAGAAGUGGAUGAUUGACAGAGAGUUCAGCUGAGUUUCAGUUUGGUGAGAGGAUGUCUAAUAUAGAGGGCACUCCAGGAGUGGGCCUAGCAGCCUUAGCUGGAUGAGGGGGUCCCAUGGAAGAGGAUUGCCUAACACAUGAUUCUGAACUUCAUCCUUACAGACCCGCGAAUGUGUUUCUCAACGACCUGGGGACCAUAUCCGAAAUGUCAUCAUCAAUGGAGAUGGCACCUACCUACCUCUCAGUUUCUGUGGGAGGGUAGCAGCCUAACUUUGGAAGGUCUUCGUGGACAAUAUGUCCAUGCAGCUGUGUCAUCUCCUAUAAUAACACCACCUCCUGCUGGAAUACCUCCUGAAGAACCUGCUUGAGGCUGUUUAAAAUGGUUAACUUUUUUUAUUUUUAAUAUAUAUGUAGAAGCAGACUCUAAAAUAAUGACAAAAGUAUGGUGUAGUAAAUGCAUAAACCAGAAACAUGGUCAUUUAUUAUCAGUAUUAAGUAUUAUGUACUGUAUAAAAUUGUACUGCUAUACUUUUAUACUACUACUAACACAGUAGGUUUGUUUACACCAGCAUCACCACAAACACAUAAGUAAUGCAUUGGGCUAGGACAUUAAGAUAGCUUGUCACCUAUUCUAUCAAUAUGUGAUAAAAAUUUUUCAGUUCCAUUUUAAUCUUAUGGAACCACUGCUGUCUAUGCGGCCUGUCGUUGACCCAAAUGUCAUUAUGUAGUGCAUAACUGUACUAAUACUAAGAAAAACUGAGUGUUUGUAUUUUAGAGUUAAGCACUGAUACGUUUACAAAUAAAAUAAUAUCUGACGUUUGUUUCAAAGGAAUCUGGAUAAGAGGAUAUGGUAAGAACAUAUAUGAAGUAAGAUUGACCAUGGGUUAAUAAUGUUUGAAGCUAAGUGGUAAAUAAUCUUUGUCCCAACCUUUGUGCAUAGUGGUUCUCAAAGAUGAUCCCUGCACUGGCAGCAACAGGAUCAUUUGAGAUCUUGUUUGAAAAGCAAACUCUGAGGAAACCACAUAUUUUGUAACCAAAACUCUGCACAUGAGGCCCAUUAGCCUGUGGUUUCACAAGCCCUUUAGGUAAUUUUGAUCCAAGCUAAUGUUUCUGAAUCACUGCUCCAGUAUAAAUAACAUAGAAUAUUGCAUGUAUUUGUAGAGACAUGACAUUUGUAUAUUUUUAAGUUAUCCAUAAUACAACGAAAAAUAAUGAAAACACCCAGGACAAAUGUUUCACUGGAAAAAUUUGAAUAAAGUUUGCAGACAUAAUUCUAAUCUUAAACACUUCCAAAAGACAGAAAAGGAUCUAUUCCCCAACCCAGUCUGAGAGUAGAAAAUCUUAGCCCUGGAAGUGAACAAAGAGUAUGAAAGAACUAUUAAAGCCAGUCUCACUUAUGAACAAAAGAUCCAGUAAUCUUAAGAAGUUAAGUAAAUCUAGCAUUAUGUAAAAAUAAUAAAAAUACAUCAGAACGAAGUUGUAUUUAUCCUAGAAAAUGAAAGUUGAUUUAACAUUAGAAACACUUUAAAAAGCAGGGAGGAUUAAAGGAGUUUGUUUAUUCUUAAUAUAUUCUGUUUGUUUAUUUCAGUGUUUUUAUAUGAGUAUCCUUAAAUUUUUAAACUGUGUUAAGAUGCAUGCUUAUACUUGUUUUACUUUUCUGACUGGAAGAUAAACCUAAAUAAAGGUUGUGAAAAAGA